GACGGAGGGUGCUAGCGGUGUUCGGACUCACUGGGCGUAAAGGGCGCGUAGGCGGCGAUGGCAGUCGGGUGUGAAAGCCCGGAGCUCAACUCCGGAAUGGCACUCGAGACGCCAUGGCUGGAGGCCGGAAGAGGAGGGUGGAAUACCCAGUGUAGAGGUGAAAUUCGUAGAUAUUGGGUGGAACACCGGUGGCGAAAGCGGCUCUCUGGUCCGGACCUGACGCUGAGGCGCGAAAGCGUGGGGAGCAAACAGG
rnacentral:rRNA from 1 species